rnacentral:rRNA from 1 species
UACGAAGGGGGCUAGCGUUGCUCGGAGUCACUGGGCGUAAAGCGCACGUAGGCGGAUUGCUAAGUCAGGGGUGAAAUCCUGGAGCUCAACUCCAGAACUGCCUUUGAUACUGGCGACCUUGAGUCCGGGAGAGGUGAGUGGAACUGCGAGUGUAGAGGUGAAAUUCGUAGAUAUUCGCAAGAACACCAGUGGCGAAGGCGGCUCACUGGCCCGGUACUGACGCUGAGGUGCGAAAGCGUGGGGGGCAAACAGG